UCAGUACGCCUGCGCCGAUCGAGGAACGUUACGGCGCAGGCGUGGGAAUUCAGAAGCAGACGGGGCCAGCGGGAGGAGAAGAGCGCUCGCUAGCCCUGUCUAUCAAGAGGAGAUGGGGCGUGUCUAGAAGCGGCAGAUGCGGCAGCUACCAGAAAGUACACGCCCAACUUGCUGGUAGUGAAGAAAUUUGCAUAUGAUAAAAGUAUGAUUUUUACAAGAAAUAAGCCACAGACAAAGGUAGGACAUGUAUGAUUGCACUCAGAUGACAUUAGCAAAUCGCUAAUGUCGGCUAAUCAAAAUUGCACAAUGGGGGGUGACAGAAGCCCUUUAAAUAAA